CCCAGUUCGGAUCGCAGGCUGCAACCCGCCUGCGUGAAGUUGGAAUCGCUAGUAAUCGCGGAUCAGCAUGCCGCGGUGAAUACGUUCCCGGGCCUUGUACACACCGCCCGUCACACCAUGAGAGUCGGGAACACCCGAAGUCCGUAGCCUGACCGCAAGGGGGCGCGGCCGAAGGUGGGUUCGAUAAUUGGGGUGAAGUCGUAACAAGGUACC
rnacentral:rRNA from 1 species